UGGAGCGCGGAAACGCGGAAACGCGGAAACGCGGAAGAGAAAGUAACUAGAAAAAUAACUAUUCCGCGUUUCCGCGAAUUGAGUUGUUUCUUUCCGCACAUUUGAGCGGAAUCCGUUACCGUGUGUGCACGUGGACUCAAGUAUAAUAGAAAAUAAAAACUUUCUAAAUGGAUGCAACAAAGUGUGGCUAUUGCGGCUUCAUUUUAAGGGGGUCAUGUGAAACACUUUUGGACCACGAUUGUUUCAAGAAAUAUAAUGAAACUGAAGAUGUCAUAAAUGUUACCAGCAAUGCUGUGGCAAUACUAUGAUAAAGAGACGUCAAACUGAAAGUGUUGUGCAACAUGAAGGAGCUUCACAAUCUGCUACACAAUCGGUACUGACACAAAACGAGUUACUAAUUGAACUGGUGCGAACUCGAAGAGCUUUAUGGGAUCAUUCAAUUCCAGUAACCGAAAGGACAAGAUUAAAAAAAGAAAGUUUAUAGCAAGAAAUUGUAAACGCAUUUGAUGGAUCUCUGCAGUCUAUGGAAAUAGUUAACCACUACGAGGCGGUGCCUGCAAUAUAUUGGAAACCAUCAUUGUGAUAAACACAUUACUCAUUACAAAGCAUACAUCAUUGCAUCAUUAAUGUGUAAUAUAUUGAUUAUUAUAUGUAAAUAAAUUGAUAAUAUACA